rnacentral:rRNA from 1 species
AUGUCUUCUCAUUCUUCCGCUUUGUCUUCUCUUCGCUCGCUGGAUUCUCCUGUUCAUGUCUUCACUGCUGAUGGUACUCCACUUUCUGUUGCUAGUAGAGGCCAUCUUUCUACUCCUUAUUCUGUUCCUGAUGUUGCUCAUGUUCCUCGACUUACCAUGAAUCUGUUUUCUGCCGGUCAACUUACUGAUUCUGGUUGUCGUGUCAUCCUUGAUGUUGACUCUUGUUCUGUCCAGGAUCGUCGCACGCACACUCUGGUUGGGGCUGGCCCUCGCCGCCGUGAUUCUCAGGGUCUUUGGGAGUUGGACUGGCUUCAUGUUCUUUCCGCUGCCACCACCAUCGCCAGUUCCUUCGCUGCUGUCGCUUCUGUUACUGGUUCCUUCAAGCAGUGGCAUCAUCGACUUGGUCAUCUGUGUGGUUCUCGAUUAUCGUCUUUAGUUCAUCGAGGUCUUCUGGGGUCUGUCUCAGGAGAUGUCUCUUUAGAGUGUCAGGGUUGUCGUCUUGGCAAGCAGAUUCAGCUACCAUAUUCUCAUAGUGAGUCAGUGUCUCAGCGUCCUUUCGAUUUAGUCCAUUCUGAUGUAUGGGGUUCGGCUCCUUUCACUUCGAAAGGUGGUCAUAAAUACUAUAUUAUUUUCAUCGAUGAUUUUUCUCGUUACACAUGGCUUUAUUUCAUGACUUCACGUAGUGAGGUGUUGUCUAUUUAUAAGCGUUUUGCUGCCAUGGUUCAUACUCAGUUCUCUUCACCCAUUCGUGUUUUUCGUGCUGACUCCGCUGGUGAGUAUAUCUCUAAGAUGUUGCGUGGUGUCCUUGCUGAGCAGGGUACUCUUGCCCAGUUCUCUUGUCCUGGUGCUCAUGCUCAGAAUGGUGUGUCUGAGCGCAAGCAUCGUCACCUUCUUGAGACGGCUCGUGCUAUGAUGAUCGCCGCCUCUCUUCCGCCUCAUUUUUGGGCCGAGGCUAUCUCCACUUCUGUCUAUCUCAUCAACCUUCAGCCAUCUGCUGCUUUGCAGGGUGGUGUUCCUUUUGAGCGUCUGUUUGAUCGCUCUUCCGAUUAUUCGAUGCUUCGCUUGUUUGGUUGUGUUUGCUAUGUUCUUCUUGCCCCUCGCGAACGCACCAAACUGACCGCUCAGUCUGUUGAGUGUGUCUUCUUAGGCUACAGUGAUGAGCAUAAGGGCUAUCGUUGUUGGGAUCCUGUCGGUCGUCGGAUGCGUAUCUCUUGA